CCCCAACCCUGGAGGUGUGAGGCGAACGUGCUAACCGCUAAGCCAAGGUUUAUUAAUGAGGUGAAAUAACAAACAUUACUAUUCCCCCUCUUAAACUCCCAUAUUUUCUGUUUUUUUCUUAUGACCUGGAACUUAAAAGGACUUAAGUAGGAUUAUGUCAUAAUUCUACACAAAAUAAACCAUUCUACUGAAGUGUGUACAUGGUUGUUUGCAUGUGUGAGAGAGGGGGUCCAAUGGAGCACAAUUAAAACUAUUAUUUGAAGAAAUAAAAUGCAAAGAAUAUUACACAAGUCUGACACUGCUUUUUGUUCACUAAAGGUAAGGCUGGAAUUUAGCCAGAGAAGCAGUCAAAAUGUCAAGAGGAACUCUAAAGGAGCUUGGAGAGAUCCAAAUUUCAAUCCCACUUUCAAUCCAACUUUAACCCAGAAACCUCUGAAAUCCCAUAUAGAGUUAACCAAAAGAGAUGUUGGAGACCUGUUGGUUCUUUGGCAGGAAAUACAACACUGAUAAUCAACCUAAGAACACAGUGAAACCCCACAAUGAAACAUGGUAGUGAUUGCAUCAUGCACUUAUCCUACACAGGAGAGGAUGGAGUCAAUCCCAGGGGACACUGGCCACGAGAUGGACCUGAGGGGACAUGAAUGUUUACUGGACUUCACUUUUAAUCACACUUUUAGCUUCCUGCUGUAACACACCUGACACAGCUAAUAAAGGGCAUGAUGAUCAGCUGAUGAGGAAGAUCAUAUAGUCUGUUAUAUCAAGCCCUGUGGUUGUGAAUACUAAUAAAUAUUACAGACAGUCUCGAUUCAAUCUCAUAAUGCAUCAUAUCGCAUAAAAUGUGAUCAUUUUAUAAGGAUUAAGGCACUUACCUUGUUUGUUAUAUACAGUACUUCAUUUAUUUCCAGGCCAGUUCUUGUUCAUUUAGUUUUGACAUUCUUUUUUUUCCAAGCCUAAAUGCUUUCUCUGUUUCUUUCCAAGUUAGGAAUUCCAGUACGGAAUUUUUCAUCAGAUUCUGUGUGCUAAUACUUCUUGAAAAGCAUAAUCUGCUAAAGGGAGCUGAAAGGAAACAGUGCUCAUACAUCUACCCUUAAAGCAUGAUGUUUUAA